UUUAUUUUUGAAUUGAAAUACCUGUGCUUAAUGGUAAUUUAUAAAUGAUAUUUAAAUGUUGAAAAAGAUUUUAAAUUCAUUUUAUUUAUUCUUCUUCCAUACAUUUUUUUUUAUCUUUAAGCAAUAAGUUUGGUCUGGCAUGGUUUACUCCAACCUGUGAAGUUAACCUUUGUGGUCAUGCAACUCUGGCAUCUUCUGCCGUUUUAUCCUUUGCUUUAAAUAACAAAUCAGAAAUUAUGGAAUUUGGAGCUCUUAGUGCCAUUUUGAAAGCUAAAAGCCUAAAUGAUAACAAGAUGCAAAUUUAUUUGAUUGUCCAUAAUUUUACGCCAGAUGCAAGGACCUCAAGGUAAUACCACAAGGAUCCACCAUCACAAGAUGAAGGGGUAAAGGGCCACUCCUGCCUCAGGCACCCCGACCAACUGAAUUUUCAAAUUUUGGGAUUGUUUUGCAUACUACUACGAUAGAUAAGGGCCAGUUUGGAUGAUUCAAAUACGGUUAAUGGAAGGUAGAACUGCCGGACUUAUUUGGAUGCUUAUCUGUGAAACAAUUUCGGAUAUUUGAAGAUUUUUCUG